GACCUGAUGGUGGAGUGGUUACCACACCUGCUGUAAAUGCCGGGUAUUUUAAGCCGUUUCAGCAGAAGAGCCCUGUUAGAUUCGGGGUCAGGUCU